CGGCGGCUGAAGAAGACGAAGGAGAAGUAGAAGAACGACGAAUAGGGAAUUGAGAAAUGCUUCUCUUCCAGCAAAAAAAGGAAAGAGAAGAAGAAUGAUGGUUAUUAAAUGGGAAGCGCAGGGCGUUGGUGGCAAAUGAUGAUGUAAAAGCAGCGGCAGAGCAAGAACUCACCUUCAUCUUUUUUCUAUAAGAAAUUAGGGUUUGGAAAGAGGAGGGGAGCCG
rnacentral:misc_RNA from 1 species